GCAGUCGAACGAGAUCUUCGGAUCUAGUGGCGGACGGGUUAGUAACGCGUGGGAACGUACCCUUCACUACGGAAUAGUCCCGGGAAACUGGGUUUAAUACCGUAUACGCCCUUCGGGGGAAAGAAUUUCGGUGAGGGAUCGGCCCGCGUUAGAUUAGUUAGUUGGUGGGGUAAUGGCCUACCAAGACUACGAUCUAUAGCUGGUUUGAGAGGAUGAUCAGCAACACUGGGACUGAGACACGGCCCAGACUCCUACGGGAGGCAGCAGUGGGGAAUCUUAGACAAUGGGGGCAACCCUGAUCUAGCGAUGCCGCGUGAGUGAUGAAGGCCUUAGGGUCGUAAAGCUCUUUCGCCUGUGAUGAUAAUGACAGUAGCAGGUAAAGAAACCCCGGCUAACUCCGUGCCAGCAGCCGCGGUAAUACGGAGGGGGUUAGCGUUGUUCGGAAUUACUGGGCGUAAAGCGCACGUAGGCGGAUUAGUCAGUCAGAGGUGAAAUCCCAGGGCUCAACCCUGGAACUGCCUUUGAUACUGCUAGUCUUGAGUUCGAGAGAGGUAAGUGGAAUUCCGAGUGUAGAG
rnacentral:rRNA from 1 species